GCCUGCUCGUCCCCGUCAAACUGUGCAUAUCUGUAUACUUUCAGCUUGUAUACUUUGACAUGUGCAUACUUUAUUCUUAAUUGUGCAGAAACUUCUUUUGUGAUGCAACUAAUGGGGAAAUACAAAAAAACACAUAAUGCCGAUUGCUUUGAGCCUUUGAGUUAGAAGGUAUACCCAUCUCUGAUAGGCUUCCAUGUAUGUGCCCCUUCCAUACCAGACGUUAGUUCUAAUUCUAUGUCCUUAGCUGCAUCCAUUUGUUCACUUGUUUCAUUGAAGGUUAAUUCCUGGAAGCAACAUUACAAAGAAUAAUGGGUAUGCAUGAUAUAAUAUACUUACAAUUAGACCUAUUUGGGACAUAGUUGGAAAAGAAAAGAUGCCUCUGUCACUUCGAAGUCUUCGGAAUCACUAGAAUGCGUGCUCUGCUUUUUCUCCACUUCUUUGUCGGCUGUUCCAUUUGAUUCUCUCAGCGUGUCCCCUAGAGUGUCUGCCCCUUCGGUGCCAAAUGUCUGUGCUAAUUCCUCAUCCAGAGCUGACUGCAUUUGUUCAAGGUUAAUUCCUGAGAGCAAGAUUACAAAGAAAAAUCAGUAUGCAGGGUUUAAUAUAAUUAUAAUUAGAACUAUUUGGGACAUAUAGUUGGAAAAGAAAAUAUGCCUCUGUCACCUCGGAAUCUGUGGACCGCGUGCUCUUCUUUUUCUCCACUUCAUCUUUGUCGGCUAUUCCAUUUAAUUCUGCAAGCUUGUCCCCUACAGUUUCUGCCCCUUCGGUGUCGGAUGUUUGUGCUAAUUCAUUGUCUUGAGCUGGCUGCAUUUCUUCACUUGUUUCCUUGACGGUUAAUCCCUGAGAGCAACAUUACAAGGAAUAAUCCAUAUGUAGUAUUAUAAUAUAAUGAGAAUUAGAACUAUUUGGGAUAGUUGAAAUAGAAGCAUGCCUUUGCCACUUCGCAAUCUGUGGCUGGUGUGCUCUUCUUUUUCUCUACUUCAUCGCCGUCGUCUAUUCCAUUUGAUUCUUCCUCGCUGCGUACCUGAAACACACAUAAUAUAAUAUUACCUGGUACUUAUUGAUUCUUCAUUGCUUAGUAACUAAAACACACGAUAAUAUAAUAUUCUCCAAUACUUAUAAAAGAGC
rnacentral:lncRNA from 1 species